GCAUAUCAAUAAGCGGAGGAAAAGAAACCAACAGGGAUUGCCCCAGUAAUGGCGAGUGAAGCGGCAAGAGCCCAAAUUUGAAAUCGGGCAACCGAGUUGUAAUUUGGAGACKGGACACURGAGAGGAGGAAGGCGAUUAAGUGCCUUGGAACAGGCUGCCGUAGAGGGUGAGAGCCCCGUGAAUCGCUGGAGACCGAUCAAUUAGUGCCCGCCGAAGAGUCGAGUUGUUUGGGAAUGCAGCUCUAAKGGGGUGGUAUAUUCCAUCUAAGGCUAAAUAUUAGCGAGAGACCGAUAGCAAACAAGUACAGUGAUGGAAAGAUGAAAAGAACUUUGGAAAGAGAGUGAAAUAGUACGUGAAAUUGUUGAAAGGGAAGGGUAUUUGAUCCGACAUGGUGUUUAGCAGCGGCCCGUUCCUCGUGGAUGGGUGCACCUGGUUUACACUGGGCCAGCAUCGGUUCUGGGAGCCAUAUACGGGGUUCGUGAAUGUGGCCCUUCGAUUCUGUCGGAGGGUGUUAUAGCGCGGACAUCUUGUGGCUAGCCGGGACCGGGGACUGCGGUGACUUGUCACCGAGGAUGCUGGCAGAACGAGCAAAUACCACCCGUCUUGAAACAUGGACCAAGGAGACUAACGUCUAUGCGAGUGUUUGGGUGGAUAAAACCCAUUAACGCGGAAUGAAAGUGAACGUAGGUCGGAGCCCCCUUGGGGGCGCACGAUCGACCGAUCCCGAUGUUUUACCGGAGGGAUUUGAGUAAGAGCAUAGCUGUUGGGACCCGAAAGAUGGUGAACUAUGCCUGAAUAGGGUGAAGCCAGAGGAAACUCUGGGUGGAGGCUCGCAGCGGUUCUGACGUGCAAAUCGAUCGUCGAAUUUGGGUAUAGGGGGCGAAAGACUAAUCGAACCAUCUCGUAGCUGG
rnacentral:rRNA from 1 species